GAACUUAAGCAUAUCAAUAAGCGGAGGAAAAGAAACUAACAAGGAUUCCCUCAGUAACUGCGAGUGAAGUGGGAAAAGCUCAAAUUUGAAAUCUGGCAGCUCUUUCAGGUUGUCCGAGUUGUAAUCUAGAGAAGUGUUACCUGUGUUGGACCGUGUAAAAGUCUUCUGGAAUGGAGCAUCAUAGAGGGUGAGAAUCCCGUCUUUGACAUGGACUACCAGCAUGCCAAGGUGCACUCUCAAAGAGUCGAGUUGUUUGGGAAUGCAGCUCAAAGUGGGUGGUAAAUGCCAUCUAAAGCUAAAUAUUGGCGAGAGACCGAUAGCGAACAAGUACCGUGAGGGAAAGAUGAAAAGAACUUUGGAAAGAGAGUUAAACAGUACGUGAAAUUGCUGAAAGGGAAACGCUUAAAGUCAGUCGCAUUAGCUGGAAAUCAGGCUUGCUUUUGCAAGGUGCACUUUCUAGUCGAUGGGUCAGCAUCAAUUUUAAUCGUUGGAUAAAGUCAUUGGGAAUGUGGCAUCUUUGGAUGUGUUAUAGCCCAGUGUUGAAUACAGCGGUCAGGAUUGAGGAAUUCAGCAUGCCUCUAGGGGCCAGGUUUCGACCAUGUUCAUGCUUAGGAUGCUGGCAUAAUGGCUUUAAUCGACCCGUCUUGAAACACGGACCAAGGAGUCUAACAUGCCUGCGAGUGUUUGGGUGAAAAACCCAUACGCACAAUGAAAGUGAAAGUUGAGAUCCUUAGGGAGCAUUGACGCCCGGACCAGACCUUCUGUGACGGAUCCGCGGUAGAGCAUGUAUGUUGGGACCCGAAA
rnacentral:rRNA from 1 species